rnacentral:rRNA from 1 species
CGUAUAGGCGGCCUUUUAAGUCAGACGUGAAAUCCAUGGGCUUAACCCAUGAAUUGCGUUUGAAACUGGAGGGCUUGAGGAUCGGAGAGGGCAGUGGAAUUCCCAGUGUAGCGGUGAAAUGCGUAGAUAUUGGGAGGAACACCAGUGGCGAAGGCGACUGCCUGGACGACACCUGACGCUGAGGCGCGAAAGCUAGGGGAGCAAACGGGAUUAGAUACCCCGGUAGUCCUAGCCGUAAACGAUGGGUACUAGGUGUGGGAGGUAUCGACCCCUUCCGUGCCGCAGUUAACACAAUAAGUACCCCGCCUGGGGAGUACGGCCGCAAGGUUGAA